rnacentral:rRNA from 1 species
CACAUGGUUGACGGAGAACCCCGGGAACUGGGGCUAAUCCCAGAUAGAUGAGAACUCCUGGAACGGGUUCUCGUCCAAAAGGCGUCUAGGCCAUGCUUCUAGGCGUUGCUCAAGGAUGGGGCCGCGGCCGAUCAGGCUGUUGGUGAGGCAACGGCUCACCAAACCUUUAACCGGUACGGGCCGUGGGAGCGGGUGCCCGGAGAUGGGAACUGAGACAAGGUCCCAGGCCCUACGGGGCGCAGCCGUUGCGAAACCUCGUCAAUGCACGAAAGUGUGAACGGGCUACCCCGAGUGCUGUCCGCUGAGGAUGGCUUUUCUCUGCUGUAAGGAGGCGGAGGAAUAAGGAGAGGGCAAGUCUGGUGUCAGCCGCCGCGGUAAUACCAGCUCUCCGAGUGGUGGGGAUGUUUAUUGGGCCUAAAGCGUCCGUAGCCUGCCCUUCAAGUCUUUCGUUAAAUCCAGCGAUUCAAUCGUUGGACUGCGGGAGAUACUGUUGGGCUAGGGGGCGGGAGAAGCCGACGGUAUUUCCGGGGUAGGGGUAAAAUCCUAUAAUCCCGGGAGGACCACCAGUGGCGUAGGCGGUCGGCUAGCACGUGCUCGACGGUGAGGGACGAAAGCUGGGGGAGCAAACCGGAUUAGAUACCCGGAUAGUCCCAGCUGUAAACGAUGCGGGCUAGGUGUUGGGGUGGCCACGAGCCACUUCAGUGCCGCAGGGAAGCCAUUAAGCCCGCCGCCUGGGGAGUACGGCCGCAAGGCUGAAACUUAAAGGAAUUGGCGGGGGAGCAC